rnacentral:rRNA from 1 species
AGUGAACGCUGGCGGCAGGCCUAACACAUGCAAGUCGAACGGCAGCACAGAGGAGCUUGCUCCUUGGGUGGCGAGUGGCGGACGGGUGAGGAAUACGUCGGAAUCUGCCUAUUUGUGGGGGAUAACGUAGGGAAACUUACGCUAAUACCGCAUACGACCUACGGGUGAAAGUGGGGGACCGCAAGGCCUCACGCAGAUAGAUGAGCCGACGUCGGAUUAGCUAGUUGGCGGGGUAAAGGCCCACCAAGGCGACGAUCCGUAGCUGGCCUGAGAGGAUGAUCAGCCACACUGGAACUGAGACACGGUCCAGACUCCUACGGGAGGCAGCAGUGGGGAAUAUUGGACAAUGGGCGCAAGCCUGAUCCAGCCAUGCCGCGUGUGUGAAGAAGGCCUUCGGGUUGUAAAGCACUUUUGUCCGGAAAGAAAAGCUUAGGGUUAAUAACCUUGAGUCAUGACGGUACCGGAAGAAUAAGCACCGGCUAACUUCGUGCCAGCCGCCGCGGUAACAC